rnacentral:lncRNA from 1 species
GAAGGUGGGAAUAGGACUUUAUGCGGCAAAAAAAAUAACUAAAAAAGCCAACUUUUAUUGUCACGCCCCGAGCCCGAGGUGCGGCAGGCGCCGCACGCCCGCACGGCGGGCCGCACGGGCGCGCAAGGCAGCAGAUCAUAUCAAAGCAGAUACAGCUAUUCAAAGAUGACAUAAUUAUUUAAAUUGUUCAAAAGCGGCCUUACAAAAUUUCAAAAUAGCAUAUGCCAACAUAGUUCAAAUGUCCAAACUCAUUUAACUAAAAUGCCCAUAAUCGAAGAAAUCAUCGAAAAAUCUAACGCACUCCCCAAUCCCGUGCGAUCAAGCCUCUGAAUCUGAAAAACAGAGAAAAUAAAAUAAUGAGCUACACUAGCCCAGUAAGCAACAAAAUACCCCAAAGUGGGGUCAGAGCAUAUCAGAUCAAAACACAGGAUAAUGACUGAAAUAAAUCAUAAAUAACAUCGUUUUACUGUUUUCAAAAUUUAUGAUCAUUUUUCCAAAAACUCAGAUACCAGAAUCUCAACAUGAUAGGCUACGGCCCCGUAACCCAAUGGCAUGGGUUGCACAGAGUGCCAGAAACCACUAUUGUUAGUCACCGGUGGAAAAGGUGUCCAGAAACCACUAUUCUAAUCACCGGUGGCGCGGUGUCGAAAUCGGUUCCUCACAGAUUACAAGUCGACAGGUCCAACGUAUAAUCCCCAUUGGCGGGGCCAGAAUAGAACAGAAUAGAUCAUAGCCAUGCUGAGAAUACAUAUAUAUAAAGACAGAUUUCAUAAAUUUUCCAAUCAUAGUUUACGGAUUUCAGAGCAUACAACAUAAUUUUUAAAUAAAAUUUAACAUGCCUGACCAAUUUUACAGAAUACAAAACAUUCAUCAAAAUUUAAUCUAUUUAUCAAAUAAUUUGGAAAUUACACUUGAAGUAUUAAGUUACUUCUUCUCGCUUAAUCCCUACUUCAGAUAGGCGGAUCAGGUUCACCUGUUUAAAUUUAAUUAAUUCCUUGUUAAUAUCAGAGCUUUGCAAAAUCCAAAAAUAAUACUAUUGGACACGGCCCAACAGGGCCUAGAGUUGGCCCAUAAUUGGCAUGGCCCGAUAGGGCCCAUAUCGGGCACGGUCCAAUGGGCCCACAUAGACCCAGCUAAAUAGAGCCCCCAAGGUUGGCUUCUAGUUGGUUCAUUUAUGCAAUAAAAUUUAUUGCAGGGACUAAUACUUAAUUUCAGGAUACUAUUCUAUAAAGCUUGAGUGGACUAAAUAAAUAUAGUUGGGGACCAUUAUAUAAUAAAUCUUUUCUAUAGGGAUCAAAUACAAAUUACAGAAGACCCUUUUGUGAAAUAAUAUACUGCCAAGGGCUUAACUGCAAAAUUUCAUUUAUUGGCCAAAUGGGUUCGGAUUUCGGGUUCGGGUUCCGGGCUCGGAUCUGAACUGGGCCCAAGUUGGGCCCACAAGGGUACUGCCCAACUGGGCCCAACCGGACGGGGCCCAAGUUGGGCCUGCAGCGGACUAAGCCCAAGUUGGGCCUGCAGUGGACUGGGCCCAGCGGCCCAUCAAAGUGCUCACGGCCCACAAUGGGCCUUCUUCCUUCCCGAUCUCCCCAAAGAGGAAACUGCUCAAACACAUGGAGGUUAUCCAAAUGUAUCGGUGUUUAAGUGAAAAUCAUAAUAUUAAUAGCUAGCACUACUCAAAUCAAGAAUGAAAGAGAAAUUUGAAAAAGAAUUCCAACAACAAACUUUCCCCAACAUUUNNNNNNNNNNNNNNNNNNNNNNNNNNNNNNNNNNNNNNNNNNNNNNNNNNNNNNNNAAUGCUUAAUAUACCAAAAAGUUACUGUCCAAGAACUCAGAAUCCUCAACUCAAAACUCUUUAAAGACAUCAAGAGUACCCAGAUUUUACAUCAGUUAAGUCAAAUUGUUAUUACAAACAGAUGAUAUACCAAAGUAGAGGCAUCAUGAAGUUUCAUCAAAUGCAAUAUCGCUUUCAGUUUCAGCAUGUACCUCAUGUAUCUCAUUUUCAUGUGCCACAAAGCAUGGAUUUGCAAUAUGAUACUGCUCUUCUUCUACACAUGUUGUAUCAGAUUUGUUAGUGCAUUCAUAUUUGACUUUAAGCAUAUUCCAUAUUUCCUUAGCAGUUGUGCAAAAGGAUAUGCAAUUAAGUUCACUAUCAUCUAAUGCACAAUAUAAAAUAUUCAUUGCUUUUGCAUUUUGCUGAGCCAUUUUCUUAUUAUGAUUAGUGUUUGUGUGUGGACCAUUGACUAUGAUACUCCAUAAAUCAUAAUCAUGUGCUUGAAUAAAAAUGCGCAUGCGUGCUUUCCAAUGUGUGUAGUUUAUGCCAUUAAUGUCACGCCCCAAAUCCGGAUCAUGACACGGCCGUGCUAUUGCAAUCUUAUGCACACAAUAACACGAAGCCAUUUAAAAUUUCAUAAUAAAAAUAAAUAGUUUCAUUUACUAGUGUCAUAACAUUAUUAAUGAAGUUGGAACAGUACAAAGCUUCUAAAAUUAAUUAUUAAAUAACAUUUUUAGUUACCCCAACCCUGAAUAACACCAAGCUCCCUGCUCCUAGUAGUCUUAUUCAUCUGUAGAAAAAAGUAGAUAAAAAGGUAUGAGCUACACAGCUCAGUAAGUAACCAGGUACUAUCUUAUUUGAUCAAGUA